CUAUGGGAUUUGCUGACAAAGAGUCUCUGAUUUAGGGAGGGGGAGUGAGACAGAGAGAGGGAGUUCAUGGUAAUGGUGGAGGAUGCGCAAGAUAGCGAGAGCCCUCUGAAGGAGGCGCACGAUAUCCAGUCCCAGAUUAAGAGUGCUAUGCAGUCACGCGUCCCUUGCUUAAAAGAACUAUCCGAGUCAUAUAUUUUGCCAUCUUAACUUGAAGGGCGAUAUAAGUGUUAAAUGCAUGUUGCUUCUGUUUCUCAGGAAACAGAGCAUUUUUUUGCAACUGUAUCUUUUGUAAUCAGCUCGGUUGAAUGUUCACUGUCUUAUUCAUGUGGUUAAGGCUGGUGCAUUCAAGUCCCGCAGCAACGCGCGGGCAUUUUUGCUAGUGUAAACUAAAGUUGAAUCG